AGUGAAGUGGCUGAAUUAAUAGGCAGUAAAAUGUAAAUUUACUUAUGGGUUAAAUUAUCCCUUUACUA
rnacentral:tRNA from 1 species